GCCAGAGAGCCCAGUCUUGGUGGGAUACCUACAACUCCCUUCCUUCUAUGGAAAGAAAAUCUAUGCUAAAAGUCUUUCCUGCCUUCUUAGGAGGGUAGUCCUUUUAGGUAUUAGCUUGAGCUUCAGAGGGUAAAAGGCUCAAAUGCCACAAUAAUGCACAUCCAGAUCACAGCUACUUUUGAUCCUGUCAGCUACUGAACCACAUUUAACAGAGAGAGAGCUGUAUUCAUGCUCUGCCCUUUGGAUGGUUAUUCUCCACCAGACAAACACAUGGCUUGAGUAUCUGAAGCAACUGUGAAUUUUUGGCAACAACGCUGUUUCCUUGCAUCAGAAGAAUGAGUUAUAUUCAAACAAGUUAUAUUCAGACAAAUGGCUUGGCCUUAAAGAUAGGUGGUGUGGCUGUAAAUUUCCAUUUCUGGCUAACUGGUGACUUCCCACUGGACAUAAGGGCAGUCAUUCUGUUGACACUCACGAGUUCCAGACCAGGAUGAGAAGAGGAAAUUUUGAGAGGGGAAGACACACAAACAAGAAGCAGGAUGAUGGACUCUUCAUGGAACACAGCUUCUAGAUGUGCGAGCCUCAAGCACCAUCCCUCCAGAUUUCUGUAAAUCCUGCUGGAUCUCCUUGGCACCUUUAGGAAGGUACACAUGUGUUGCUGCAAGUCUGGCCUUGUGCUAUUUUG